GAACCCGCUCCAUGUUGUAGCAUACUGAUGAAGAGCGAGUGGCGAACGGGUGAGUAGCACGUGAGCAACCUGCCCCGAAGACUGGGACAACACCGGGAAACCGGUGCUAAUACCGGAUAUCCUUAUCGGACCGCAUGAUCCAAUAAGGAAAUGGAUUCCGCUUCGGGAGGGGCUCGCGGCCUAUCAGCUUGUUGGUGGGGUAAUGGCCUACCAAGGCAUCGACGGGUAGCUGGUCUGAGAGGACGAUCAGCCACACUGGGACUGAGACACGGCCCAGACUCCUACGGGAGGCAGCAGUAGGGAAUCUUGCGCAAUGGGCGAAAGCCUGACGCAGCAACGCCGCGUGGAGGACGAAGGCUUUCUGAGUUGUAAACUCCUUUCAGCAGGGACGAUAGUGACGGUACCUGCAGAAGAAGCACCGGCCAACUACGUGCCAGCAGCCGCGGUGAU
rnacentral:rRNA from 1 species